GCAUAGAACCAGACAUGCUCUACACCUAAUGCAAAAAAAAGCCUGCAAAGUUCUCCUCUGCUACAAAGCAACACAAAAAGCCCUCCUAGUCCAUCACCUGUUGCUCAAUGCAUGUAAGAGUAGAAACACAGUGAGCCCCUAGAGCCCACACUGAGAAGCUGAGCACUGAGAAGGGACCAGGAUGUGAGGAACCACAUUAGUGGUCUUUGGCCACUAUUUCUGCUGAGCAAAAAUCAGAAGGCUUGUUCCUUUGUUCUAGAAAUCAGAAAACAAGGAGAAGAAGCACUGCUUUAAUUACAUUUAGAGGUUUCUCCUAGCAGGGAAAUGCCAUGACAGCAAAUGCAAGGAGGAUCGUUCUGUCUGACUCACUCUAACAGGGAGGCCUUGGGACCAAAGCACCACCACCAUUUUUUCCCCCAUUUUUCUCCUUCCACAAUAUUGCUCAGGAGGCGGGGCUGAAAUGGGUGGCACGGAAGUGGCAGCUCUGACACACAGCUGAAACCAUCAGGGCCAGGGUGGCAUGUGGGACUGUUUUUCCACUGCAACAGAACCAGGCAAGCCAGAGUGGUGACACUGAUCCCAAGUGAGUCCAGCCAAGCCAAGUGGAGCCCAGCAGGGUGGUAGGAAGAGGCAGCAAAGUGGCAGAUCCCAUUCCCACACACAUGCCCAGUGUGGAAGACUGAUGGCAGUGGCAAUGCCAAACAGAGCUCUGCAGGGACAGAGAGACACCCAUCACCAUCGCCACUGCCACCAUCCCUGCUGCAGAGAGGGAGCAGGAAACUGCCACUGCAGGUGCACAGCUGCUCCAGGCAGCACCAGCAGCCCCCAUCUGCCGUCAGAACCAUUCUGAGAGAGAGGAGAGGCUUUACAAGGACUACCUCAAGAAGAGGACAUAGAAUGGAGGGAAGGCCUUAGAAAGAAUAAACAACCCUCAUGCUGCUGCUUUUGGAAGGAAUAAAUGUCCAAGUUACUUAAUAUCCAGCCACAAAUCUGUGGAGUCUUGACAGCCAAGAAGCACAGGAACCUGGACACCUUGUUGUGAGAGACUAGAGGAGAUUGCUGGCUCAACACUUUUCAGGGGCUUGUAUGUGGGGAAGGGGGCAGAUCAAGCCUUGUUCUGGUGAGGCGAUGCCCCACUCGGCACGCCCCACACCCCCAGGCCUGUAUCCCAGCCCAGCAGCGGCCACUGAUCCCAUGCACACCAGAGGCAAUGCUCCACACCUGUGUCUGGAGC